UACGGAGGGGGCUAGCGUUGUUCGGAAUUACUGGGCGUAAAGCACACGUAGGCGGAUCAGUCAGUUAGAGGUGAAAGCCCAGGGCUCAACCCUGGAACUGCCUUUAAUACUGCUGGUCUGGAGUCCGAGAGAGGUGAGUGGAAUUCCGAGUGUAGAGGUGAAAUUCGUAGAUAUUCGGAGGAACACCAGUGGCGAAGGCGGCUCACUGGCUCGGUACUGACGCUGAGGUGCGAAAGCGUGGGGAGCAAACAGG
rnacentral:rRNA from 1 species